CGCAUCAGCGCUCAGGCAUUUGCGGAACCAAAACCGCAAAAGUGAUGCGGCAUUCCAAGAAGUUUCGGUGCUAUCGCAAACGGCGAAAGCCUGCCAGAUGUAUAGGGUAAACAAAUUUGGACAGAGACUGGUGGAAAUAGCACUUCCACCGGUCUUUU
rnacentral:sRNA from 12 species